AGGACGAACGCUGGCGGCGUGCUUAACACAUGCAAGUCGAGCGGUAAGGCCUUUCGGGGUACACGAGCGGCGAACGGGUGAGUAACACGUGGGUGAUCUGCCCUGCACCUCGGGAUAAGCCUGGGAAACUGGGUCUAAUACCGGAUAUGACCUCAGGUUGCAUGACUUGGGGUGGAAAGAUUUAUCGGUGCAGGAUGGGCCCGCGGCCUAUCAGCUUGUUGGUGGGGUAAUGGCCUACCAAGGCGACGACGGGUAGCCGACCUGAGAGGGUGACCGGCCACACUGGGACUGAGACACGGCCCAGACUCCUACGGGAGGCAGCAGUGGGAAUAUUGCACAAUGGGCGAAAGCCUGAUGCAGCGACGCCGCGUGAGGGAUGGACGGCCUUCGGGUUGUAAACCUCUUUCAGCAGGACGAAGCGCAAGUGACGGUACCUGCAGAAGAAGCACCGGCUAACUACGUGCCAGCAAGCCGAC
rnacentral:rRNA from 1 species